GAUGAACGCUGGCGGCGUGCCUAAUACAUGCAAGUCGAGCGAACGGACGAGAAGCUUGCUUCUCUGAUGUUAGCGGCGGACGGGUGAGUAACACGUGGAUAACCUACCUAUAAGACUGGGAUAACUUCGGGAAACCGGAGCUAAUACCGGAUAAUAUUUUGAACCGCAUGGUUCAAAAGUGAAAGACGGUCCUGCUGUCACUUAUAGAUGGAUCCGCGCUGCAUUAGCUAGUUAGUAAGGUAACGGCUUACCAAGGCAACGAUGCAUAGCCGACCUGAGAGGGUGAUCGGCCACACUGGAACUGAGACACGGUCCAGACUCCUACGGGAGGCAGCAGUAGGGAAUCUUCCGCAAUGGGCGAAAGCCUGACGGAGCAACGCCGCGUGAGUGAUGAAGGUCUUCGGAUCGUAAAACUCUGUUAUUAGGGAAGAACAUAUGUGUAAGUAACUGUGCACAUCUUGACGGUACCUAAUCAGAAAGCCACGGCUAACUACGUG
rnacentral:rRNA from 1 species